UUUUUGGGUGAUUAAAAUCCAUAUAUUUUGUUACACUAGUUUUCAUUCUAUUUGAGACAACACGUUUUGUAUGUUUACACGAUUGUACGGCCACCUCCAAACCACGGGUUCGAUGACAGAUCAGUGAUCACCUCUUUAUUGGUUUAGCAAACGACGGCCCUAACCUCGAUCCUUUCUCUCGGUUCCUUCUCUAAUGGGU